rnacentral:piRNA from 1 species
UUCAGCGAGGAAAGUGACAUUGAGGA